rnacentral:rRNA from 1 species
GAUGAACGCUAGCGGCAGGCCUAAUACAUGCAAGUCGAACGGUGUCUUCGGACACAGUGGCGCACGGGUGCGUAACACGUAUGCAACCUACCUUACAUUGGGGGAUAGCCUUUCGAAAGGGAGAUUAAUACCGCAUAAGACAGUAGCUGGGCAUCCAGCAGCUGUUAAAGAUUUAUCGAUGUAAGCUGGGCAUGCGUCCAAUUAGCUAGUUGGUGAGGUAACGGCUCACCAAGGCAAUGAUUGGUAGGGGAACUGAGAGGUAAAUCCCCCACACUGGCACUGAGAUACGGGCAAGACUCCUACGGGAGGCAGCAGUAGGGAAUAUUGGGCAAUGGACGCAAGUCUGACCCAGCCAUGCCGCGUGCAGGAUGAGGGCGUUAUGCGUUGUAAACUGCCUUUAUACAGGAAGAAACGACCCUUGCGAGAGGCAUUGACGGUACUGUAUGAAUAAGCACCGGCUAACUCCGUGCCAGCCGCCGCCGUAACAC